GCAGCUGGCUGGGGGUGUGACCGGUGAGAACCCUCUAGAGCUAGGAUCUGAACCAGGGCAAACGGGUGCCCAGGACGAACAGAUUCCACCACCAAUCACGGCAUGAAGCAUUACUAUGGGCACCCCUCUGUGGACUCCUUGUGAGACUCUCUGAAACCGUGUCCUCCCAGGAUUGUCAAAGAAAACAGGAAGCCCCUCCUGGGGAGGCUCACCCCCGCCCCAUCCCCACAAGCCAGGAAGUGACUGGCAGAAAGAUAGACACCUAGCAAGGCCAGGAGCACCCGGGCUGGGAGCCUGGAGCCAUCAUCGGGCGGAGCCCGGAGCCAAGUCCCCUGGGGUCCAAGGGCUGCAUUCCUCCCAGGUCUGCAGAGGCCACCGCUUAAAGGCGCAGAGGAGCAGCUGGGAACGAGAACAAAGCGGCCAGGCCCCCCUCGGAGGAAGGAAGGAGCGAGCCCCAGGAAGCAGCUGAUAACGCUAAGCUCAGCUUGUUUUUUCCUCUGCUCAACAGUUCUCCUGCCACGGCAAACAAAAGAUGUACGUUCUGAUUCCCUCCCGUGUUUGGAUUGCGCCGCUUCUGCUUUCUGAUGAGCUGGGGGAGAGGCAUCCCGGGCAGCUUCUGGCUCGCCUUGCCAGAUGAUGGCAGAGUCCGCCCUGCCUGUCCCCAGCCUAGACGCCUAGCUGCACCAGGCAGGGCAUCGCUUUUGACGAUGGAAUGUGAUGUAGUGAGUGCUGCGGGUUGACUCGUGACCUAGGCUUUGAAGGAACUGCAGCUCAGGACAUGUAAAACUGUUUAGAUGGGAACCCUGGCCUUUCUCAGCUCUAUCGAGAGGCCCCGCCCCGCUAUCGUCUCAGCCAAAGUCACAACCCACUAUUGUGCAAGGGCCGCCUGGGAACACACAAGGUGCAGUCUGCCCUUCCCGGAUCGUGCCACCUUUCUCCCGUGGUUUAGGGCAAUAGUAAUAGAGGACAGGCGAAGAACACCUUCAGGGUCAACUGUGUGUGACAGACAGGUUUUUGGAAAGUUUCUACACCCCAUAAGUCUCUCCGCCCAUGCAGCAAUCCAAAUCAGACCAAAUCAAACUGAAUUAGAAAAAGCCCAUGUUUAAUGGAUACAGCACUCCUGGAUGGCCUUCCAGCCCCCCAGAGAGGAGACAGAAAAUGGAAGAUCAAGAAAACCACAAGUGACUUCCCAUACAUGCAGAGACCAGAAGAGGAAGCUGGGUACCCUGCAACUGAAGACACUGGUUCUUGGGAGCUAGGAGUCAAAGUUAGGUGCUCUGGGAGUGCCUGUGUGCUCUUAUGACUCAGCCAUUCUCCAGCCCUCAGAGCCAUUCUUUAUGUCAUUAAAUUGUCUUUGCAACUGAA